UAGGGAAUCUUCCGCAAUGGGCGAAAGCCUGACGGAGCAACGCCGCGUGAGUGAUGAAGGUCUUCGGAUCGUAAAACUCUGUUAUUAGGGAAGAAUAAAUGUGUAAGUAACUAUGCACGUCUUGACGGUACCUAAUCAGAAAGCCACGGCUAACUACGUGCCAGCAGCCGCGGUAAUACGUAGGUGGCAAGCGUUAUCCGGAAUUAUUGGGCGUAAAGCGCGCGUAGGCGGUUUUUUAAGUCUGAUGUGAAAGCCCACGGCUCAACCGUGGAGGGUCAUUGGAAACUGGAAAACUUGAGUGCAGAAGAGGAAAGUGGAAUUCCAUGUGUAGCGGUGAAAUGCGCAGAGAUAUGGAGGAACACCAGUGGCGAAGGCGACUUUCUGGUCUGUGACUGACGCUGAUGUGCGAAAGCGUGGGGAUCAAACAGG
rnacentral:rRNA from 1 species